rnacentral:rRNA from 1 species
GACGAACGCUGGCGGCGUGCCUAACACAUGCAAGUCGAGCGGAGCCAAUCAACGGAAUCCUUCGGGAGGAAGAUGAGGAAGCUUAGCGGCGGACGGGUGAGUAACGCGUGAGUAACCUGCCCAUAAGAGGGGGAUAACACAAAGAAAUUUGUGCUAAUACCGCAUAUUGAGUAUUUACCGCAUGAUGAAUACUUGAAAGAUUUAUCGCUUAUGGAUGGACUCGCGUCUGAUUAGCUAGUUGGUGAGGUAGAGGCUCACCAAGGCGACGAUCAGUAGCCGAACUGAGAGGUUGAUCGGCCACAUUGGGACUGAGACACGGCCCAGACUCCUACGGGAGGCAGCAGUGGGGAAUAUUGGGCAAUGGGCGAAAGCCUGACCCAGCAACGCCGCGUGAGGGAAGAAGGUUCUCGGAUUGUAAACCUCUGUCCUUGGUGACGAAGGAAGUGACGGUAGCCAAGGAGGAAGCCCCGGCUAACUACGUGCCAGCAGCCGAC